UACAGAGGUCCCAAGCGUUGUUCGGAUUCACUGGGCGUAAAGGGUGCGUAGGUGGCAUGGUAAGUUUGAUGUGAAAUCUCCGGGCUUAACCCGGGAAUGGCAUUGAAUACUGCAGAUCUGGAGGAUUGGAGGGGGGACUGGAAUUCUUGGUGUAGCAGUGAAAUGCGUAGAUAUCAAGAGGAACACCAGUGGCGAAGGCGAGUCCCUGGACAAUACCUGACACUGAGGCACGAAAGCUAGGGGAGCAAACAGG
rnacentral:rRNA from 1 species